rnacentral:rRNA from 1 species
CAAUAGCGUAUAUUAAAGUUGUUGCAGUUAAAAAGCUCGUAGUUGGAUUUCUGGUGGGAGCGAUCGGUCUGGCGCUUAGCGCGAGUACUUGCAUCGUCUCCGGCCAUCCUUGGGGAGAGUCUGUCUGGCAUUAGGUUGUCGGGCAGAGGAUCCUCAUCGUUUACUGUGAAAAAAUUAGAGUGUUCAAAGCAGGCUUAUGCCGUUGAAUAUAUUAGCAUGGAAUAAUAAGAUAGGACUUGGGUACUAUUUUGUUGGUUUGCGCACCAAAGUAAUGAUUAAUAGGGACAGUUGGGGGUAUUCGUAUUCCGUUGUCAGAGGUGAAAUUCUUGGAUUUACGGAAGACGAACUACUGCGAAAGCAUUUACCAAGGAUGUUUUCAUUAA